UUAAUUCAAGUUUGUAUGGAGUUGGAACGUAUGCCCACGUUUGCCACUCACUAGGUGCGCUGUUUCAACUGCACACAAAUUUGACUUA
rnacentral:pre_miRNA from 1 species